AGAGUUUGAUCCUGGCUCAGGAUGAACGCUAGCUACAGGCUUAACACAUGCAAGUCGAGGGGCAGCAUGUUGGUUGCUUGCAACCAAUGAUGGCGACCGGCGCACGGGUGAGUAACGCGUAUCCAACCUACCCUUGUCCAUCGGAUAACCCGUCGAAAGGCGGCCUAACACGAUAUGCGGUUCUCAGCAGGCAUCUAACGAGAACGAAAUGUGAAGGAGAAGGAUGGGGAUGCGUCUGAUUAGCUUGUGGCGGGUAACGCCACAAGGCGACGAUCAGUAGGGUUCUGAGAGGAAGGUCCCCCANAUUGGAACUGAGACACGGUCCAAACUCCUACGGGAGGCCA
rnacentral:rRNA from 1 species